ACUGCUGAUUGAAUACUUAUUCAAAUGAUAACAUUAGGUCUAACUUCAAUAAGCACACCUUUUAAAAAUAUUGAAGGUUUCUAACAAUUUUUUUGUAAAAUAUGAAAUUCUUCCCAACAAAUAGAAUUGUAAAUCACUGAUUUGCAGCUGAACGUUGAAGAUUUUUGUAUUAUUUGUCCACAAAAGUUUCAUCCUUAAGUGAUACAAAAACGGACUUCUUCCAAGCAUUGAUGAAAGUGUUCCCACAGCCUGAUGCAACCUCCACCAUGCCCUCUAAAAGCCUGCAGACAGUUUGUCAAAAAUGUAGCUUCUUUACAAUUGUUUAAUUCAUAAAAUACAUUUCUUAUUUUAUUAACAAGAAACGUAGUAAAUAUGUGUUGACAUAAAUGUGUUUUGAACUCUCAGAUGUUUGCAACCAAACAUGAAUGUUUGAAGCUGGAACGGAUGCAGGUUUGAUUUUUAUCAUUUACAGUAAAGCGUGAAGCUCUUGUGCUGUUUGUAUCUCAGAGGAACAAAAGCUGGACGUCCCUCAGGCCUGAAGCUCAGGUCAGCUGAUCGACUGAAGCUGCUGACGCGGCAGUUUCCAGCAGUCUGUGUGUGUGUGCAUGUGUGGGUACAUGCGUGUGCGUGUAGCAGCUCGGUCAUGUGAACAGCGAGCUCUCAAAUUGGAUUGAGCUAAUUUCCUAAUGGUGUAAGGAUUGUCUGGAUCCCAGAGGAACUCCAUGAUGUCCACAGAUUAGAGUUAAUGAUGAUCAGUAAACUGUCCUGAUGCCAUUCUUCUGAAACAAACAGAGCUGAAGUUCCAUGUUUGUUCAGCUCAACUCUUCCUCGCUCCUCCACCUUCUUUUCCGCUCCGGAGGUUCUUUCUUACCGGAAUAUUCCCUCUGGCUGGCUCCAGAACCCAUCGAGCUGCCGUCAGCUGCUGCAGAACUCUGUCAUGUCCGCAGAUAUGAAGCUGACGUCCGUCUGCGUCUCCGUCCCAUCUCUGUCCCGCUGGCUGUCCGACUGAGGGACGGUAAUCCGGGGAAGUUGCUUAUGGCAACAGUACAGGAUCCUGGAACUUUGUUCCACCUUCCAACAGCGUGCAGACGCUUCUUCACCUCCUUCACUUUCUGCUGUUCUGAGCCUGAACUCCUCCUCCUCCUCCUCACUGCUCCUCAUCUGAUCUCCUCCUCCUCCUCCUCACUCCUCCUCUUCACUGCUCCUCAUCUGAUCUCCUCCUCCUCCUUUUCAGAGCAGAGCUCCACCCCUCCAGAUGUUCCUCCCUCCCCUCGCCGUCUUUGGAGCAAAUUAAUCAAAAUAAGUUCAACUAAAAUGAAUAGAAUAGAAUAUUUUGAAGGAAAAGGAUAA
rnacentral:lncRNA from 1 species